GGAUGAAUGGGCGCAAGCCUGAUCCAGCAAUGCCGCGUGCAGGAAGAAGGCCUUCGGGUUGUAAACUGCUUUUGUACGGAACGAAAAAGCGAGCUUUAAUACAGUUUGCUCAUGACGGUACCGUAAGAAUAAGCACCGGCUAACUACGUGCCAGCAGCCGCGGUAAUACGUAGGGUGCGAGCGUUAAUCGGAAUUACUGGGCGUAAAGCGUGCGCAGGCGGUUGUGUAAGACAGUUGUGAAAUCCCUGGG
rnacentral:rRNA from 1 species